rnacentral:rRNA from 1 species
UUCGGGAACGCUGAGACAGGUGCUGCAUGGCUGUCGUCAGCUCGUGUUGUGAAAUGUUGGGUUAAGUCCCGNAACGAGCGCAACCCUUAUCCUUUGUUGCCAGCGAUUCGGUCGGGAACUCAAAGGAGACUGCCGGUGAUAAACCGGAGGAAGGUGGGGAUGACGUCAAGUCAUCAUGGCCCUUACGAGUAGGGCUACACACGUGCUACAAUGGCGCAUACAAAGAGAAGCGACCUCGCGAGAGCAAGCGGACCUCAUAAAGUGCGUCGUAGUCCGGAUCGGAGUCUGCAACUCGACUCCGUGAAGUCGGAAUCGCUAGUAAUCGUGGAUCAGAAUGCCACGGUGAAUACGUUCCCGGGCCUUGUACACACCGCCCGUCACACCAUGGGAGUGGGUUGCAAAAGAAGUAGGUAGCUUAACCUUCGGGAGGGCGCUUACCACUUUGUGAUUCAUGACUGGGGUGAAGUCGUAACAAGGUAAGCGUAGCGAG